GUUCUGGUUGAUUCUUCUAGUUCAUGGUUUUGUUUUGUUUUUUUCUUUUGGUUACAUCAGACUUCAUAUUUUUUGUAAUAAAAAACAGUGAACAUUAGUUAGAUCAAGCAUAAACUAUUAGUGGUAUUUCUCAUUUUGAAAUAUGACCAAACAGAGCUGACUAAUUGGCGGGUUAGGGAAAUUUCCUCUCCAUGUGCUGAAUGCAUAAAAAGAGGCUGACAUUAAGCUCUGCCGCUCACUGUGCACUCACCAGGGACGUCUGUCAGCCUGCUUCCAGUUACUUCUCCUGAAUGGAUUUUCAUUACAGUAAUUUCAAAAAAAAAAAAAAAAACCAAAAAAAAACAAAAAAACAAAAAACAAAACAAAGCAAAACUCUGAUUUUUAACCUCAGAUUUAACUGCUACUCAUGUUCUUAUAAACUUUCACCUUGGCUUGUCAACUAACAAAAUUAUUCCCUGGAAAAUAACUAUAUUUACCGUGUUAUCAUUUAAAAAUAGGAAUGGACACAAUAUCAAGAAUGUGAUGCUACUUAGACUUCUCCUUGUGAGUCAUUUAAGUAGGAGACUCAACCUUUUUAAAAUUUUAUUUAUUUGUGUAUUUUUUGUAUAUGAGUGCUCUGUCUGCAUGUGCACCUGUGUGCCAGAAGAGGGCAUCAGAGCUUACACAUGGUUCUGAGCCACCAUUGCUGAGAAUUGAAUUCUGGACUUCUAGAAGAGCAGCCAGUGCUUUCACCCCUGAGAAAUCUCACCUGCGUGAGAUACAAUUUAAAAUGUGGACGGGAAGAUCCUGACAUUAGGAAGGCAUUUUGUGUUUUGUUUUGUUUUGUUUUUGUUUUUGCUUUUGUUUUGGUGGGCAGGGUGAGGUCGGAUGAAGACUUAAGUUGAUGAUCUAAUACUAUGACUUCCUAGAGUGCUGAUGUGACCAGCAUGGUCGGCACAGGGCUUGCCUCCUCAGCUAAGUUAGCUUUGUCAGAUGCAACUCCUUAUUUUCUCUCACUCCUUAUUUUACUGUUAAUUUGGGUUUUUUUGUUUAUUAGUUUUGUGGGUUCUUUUUGUUUUGGUGGGUGGUAGCUCUGUGUGUGUGUGUGUGUGUGUGUGUGUGAUGUUGUUGUUGUUGUUGUUGUUGUUCUUGUUUUGAGAGAGUGUCUCACAGUGCAGCAUAGACUGACGUCAAACUUGUAGCAGUUCUCCUACCUUAGCCUCCCUAGUGCUGGAAUUAGAGGUGUAAGCCACCGUGUCAGGGUGCUUGUUUUGAUAUUUUUUUAAUUAUUAAAAUUCUUACUGAGUAUUGUGUAUACAUGGUGUGUGUAUAGACACACAUGCCACAAAGCAUAUGUGGAUGUCAGUUCUUUCUUUCUACCUUUACUGGGUUUUUAUGAUUGAACUCAGAUCUGAGGGUCUCCAAACUUGUGCAGCAAAUGUCUCUGCCUACUCUGUUAAUGACUGUUCUACUGCUGUGAUGAAACCUGAUGGCCAAGGCACCUGAAGAAGAAAGUUUAUUUGGGCUGAUGGUUCAGAGGCAAAGUGAAGGCAUGGUUCCUGUUACAGCAAGGGAGAACUCACACACAUCCUGUGAGUUCCCACAGCAGGAAACAGAAGAGCAAACUGAGAGUGGCACCACUAUUGACACACCUCCUUCAGCAAGGCCACACCUCCUAAGCUGGCACAAGGCUCUGAAAUCUCAGAGCCCACCCCUAAUGACACACCCCCUUCUGCAAGGCCACGCCUCCUAACCAUACCCAAAUGGCCACCAAGUGGGUACCAAGUAUUCAAAUACCCGUUCCCAUGGGGUACAUUCUCUUUCAAGCUACUGUAUCCACUGAGCCAUCUUGCUAGCCUUGAUAUUUUAAUUAUGGUUUUAAAUAGUGUCAGUGAAGAAAUAGAAUUAAGACGUACUGUUAGAACUUCUAUAGUUGAUAACAUAUACUACAAAUUUCAUGUUCCUUCAAGGAUCUCAUAGUUAAUUCCCUCCCUUUGCUCUUGCUUUAUUUAUUUUUUUGCAGGCUUGCCAAGAGCAGUGAUAUGUCUUUAAGUUAUAGUCCUAGACUUUCCAGAGACAGAGUUGGAAUUAUUCUUUAGUACCCUGCUCUGCCUAGUCAAACCCAGGUGUUAGGUUUGAUUUUGUGCUUCCCACAAAGUUCCGUUUUUAAGUAAUCUAAAAUAAACACAAUAAGCAGAAAUAAGAUGAUCAAGAUUCUUUGUUGUUGUUGUUUUAGUUGUUGUUGUUUUUUUCAAGACAGGGGGUUUUUUGUGUAGCUUUGACUAUCUUGGAACUCUCUCUAUAUACUAGACUGGCCUCAAACUCACAGAGAUCUGCCUGCCUCGACCUCCUGAGUGCUGUGCUGGGAUUAAAGGAAUGAGCCACCACCACCACAACCCAGCAAGAAAUAUUUUUUAAGAAUAUAUGUAGAUAAGCCCCAAAUCCAAUAAGACAUCCUGUUUCUGAGAACACAUGAUAUUCUCUCUCUCUCUCUCUCUUUCUCUCUCUCUCUCUCUCUCUCUCUCUCUCACACACACACACACACACACACACACACACACACCUCCCAGUGAAAGACAACCAGCUUGUACAAAGAGUACCACAGCCAUCUUUAAAGGCUUUUCCUGAAUUGUAAUGCAGAUGAUCCAGCCCUAACAGUCUUGUGAGGUUGAAGAAACCAGGAUAUAAGUGGCAUUGCUAGGGUGGAAAGAGCAAUGCAGGAGGAACCCAGAAAUCCUGCUGCAGAUCCCAUCCGGUCAACAGUUAAACUGUGGUGCUGCUGCAGGUGGGGCCUGGUGAAACCUAGCCGUAAACAGCACCUGGGAGGUGGAAAGACUAAGCAGUUAUUGUUUCUAAAUGAUCCAUAUUUUCUUUCAUGAUUAAGUCUUUUAGUCCACAACAAAUUGAUUUUUGUAUAGGGAUCCAUUCUCACUUGAAAAUAUAUGGGUAAUUAAGUUUGCCUACACAAAUUCAUUAAUUUAGUCAUAUAAUAUCAGCUGUGUGCUGGUGCGAGGCUUUUGUACAAUGCAAUCCCUAUGCCUUUAUUUUUCUAAUGAAAAGUCCUUUCUACAAUGGAGCCAUUUAGGAAAUUUGAAGUUACAUGAUUGAAGUAUCUAAGGAGAGUAACAUGACAAUCAAACCUACUUUGAAAGAGGAAUAAAGUGUAGAUGCCCGGUGAGGUAUUAUAGUCAAGCCAAUGGAGUGGAAUUGAAUCUAAUAGCUACACUGUGGAAAUCCUGACUGAACACAUAGUUGCAAGACAUCUUCUAAGUAGCCAUGAUUAUGCAACUUGGGAGAGGAGAAAAAGUAAGUCGUGCAUGUCUGCUAUAGAUUGGGGCUUUUAGUAUAAUCCCCAUUAAACUUCCUUUCCUUUCCUUUCCUUUCCUUUCCUUUCCUUUCAUUUCAUUUAGCAAACUUCUUUUCAAAUGUUGUUUAUCCCACUUAAAUCUGUGAUCUUAGAAAUAUGCUAUUUGGGCUGGAAAGACAGUUAAGUACAGUACGUACCUGGUACACAAGCCUGAGGACCUGAGUUUGAUUCAUAGAAUCCUUGAAAAAAAGCUGCUAUGGAGUUGGACAUAUUGGUCCAUUUAUUAAUCCCAGCACUCAAGAGGCAGAGGCAGAUGUAUCCCUGCAAGUCUGAGGCCAGCCUUCUAUAUAGUGAAUUCCAGGACAGCCAGGGUUAUGGAGAGAGAGCUUGUUCAGAAAACAUACAAACCAAAAAUUUGGUAUGAUGGCACGUGCUUAUAAUCUCCAUGCUGGGGGUGCAGAGGCAGGCAGAUCCAGCCAGUCCAGCCUCGUAGGUGAACCCCAAACCACUGUAAACUGUACAAAACAAGGUGGAUGGCACCUGACAAGUGACACCUCAGGUUGACCUCUGGCCUCCACGUGCACACACAUAUAUUUACUAUUUGUGUAGCUAUCAAUUUUCGUGCAUAUGACCAUGAUUCAUUACAGAUGUAGAUUAAAAGUACUACAUAACUAGUACUGUAUUGGAAUACAAGAUGGACAACUUUCUUACAGCUGGCCCAUCUACCUAUAAUGAGUGCAUUUAGCAUAUACCAGCAGUCAUAGCAUAUAAAUAGUAAGUGUUAUUAUUUAUAUCCAUGCUCAUGUUAUUAUGUUUCCUUAAAAUACAAAACUAUCCUGUUAUCUUUUCUUAGGUUUAUUAGUGGGGAACAUAUUCCCAUAGUACUUCCUGUAUAUCUGUUAGUGCAUCAUUAUGUUGUAUUGUAACUAUAAUGUUUCUUUUAUGC
rnacentral:lncRNA from 1 species